rnacentral:tRNA from 1 species
GGGCAAUUAACUCAGCUGGCAGAGUGCUAUCGUCACAUGGUAGAGGUCGGGGGUUCGAGUCCCUCAUUGCCCACCA